CAUUGAUUAUUCUUGGAAAAUGAAAAGGUGACAUCGACUCUGCCUCUGUAUGCAAAAUUGAGCCAUUAAUUCUUUUUAUUAUGUUUUAUUUAAGAUUUGGUGCUACCUUGACCUUGUGUUGGCCUUCUGUGUAUGGAAUUAAUUGUAUAAAGAUCAAGUGCUUAGUUUACCUCAUUUUAAUUCAAAAGUAAACCAGUAUAUCCAACCAUUGCUAUAAAUAUAGAAGGGCAGUGUAAAAAAAUCUGACAAGUAUUGAAGAAGCACUUCUUUAGAAGCAUUUUCUUCCAGAGAAGGUGUAUAACAGGAACACAGGGAGCUGCCUUAUAUUGGGUUAGACCAUUGGUUGUUGCACUCACAGAACGAUUUCCAUUUGAACAAUUUCCUCUCCUGACCCCACCCCACCCUUUCAAAUCUGCCCUAGGGGUUCCCCCAACCCCCCAGAGCAGAUCUGAGGGUGAGUGGAAGGGGGGAAAGCAGAAGUUCUGUUGUGCAAACAGAAGUUGUUCGCAGUUGCAGUGACUUAGUUGGAUACAACUCUUAGUCCAGUGGGAAUUUUUAAGUAUGUGCAGAAUUAGGCACCCCUGCUGCUGAGGGGUCACCAGGUUCAUGGUAUACAUUGUUCACUAAGAGGAUACCUUUGAAAUGUGACUACAAACAAUUAAUUGAUAUUGUUGAAUUCGAGUAUUUUAAUAUCAUUUAUCCUACUCCCAAGUAAAGUCAGUGGAGGCUGCUCAGAUAGAGUGGAGAUCAGUAGCCUUCACUGGCACCCUGAGAUGCCAGACUGAGAUACCUUCCCCACUCCACCUUUUUAAAGUAAGUAUUUUCCCCUUCUAGAAAUAAAGUUCUGAUGCACAAUGUGCAGGCAACCUAAGCUGGGGGUUGCCAACCCAACUCAAGCAAAGGGAUGAGUAUAAUUAUUAUUUUUGCUCUGCAGCCAGAGGUUGGAAGGCCCCAGUCACUUCCAUCUCCCAUUGGCUAUGAUGUUAACUCCUCCCUUCUUUUCUGGAGGGAAAGAUUUCCUUGGGCAAUUUUUGCGGGACGAACAUGGAGAAGAAAGAAUUGACAAAUCUUGAGAGUGUGGGGGAGUGCUGAGGUUGGUCCACUUCUGUUUUGGCUACCCAUGAAGAGAGAAGCUAUGAAGGGUUUUGCCUGUCUUGUCUUCUCUUUGCUUUUCUGCCCAUGGAAGUGCUUAUUGAAAAGUGGUUGGGGAGGUGGGAAGAGAAGCUUUCUUGUUGAUGGAGAGGCUUUUUGAAAAUCAGGAAGAAGUGUCAGGGCCUCUUUUCCCUCCUCUUUGCUGCCCACAUAAUAGGGAAUUGCUGGGCUAAAUCCUGUAUACCUAGUAUGUUAUCUUGACUUGCACAGUAAUUUUUAUAGAAAUAGAGUAGCAUUCAGAACUGAUAUCAUCAUGUGAAGUUUAAAACAGUAAUCUACUGCUUCUUACCACUGAGUAGCUCACAGCUCAGUCUGUCUCAGAAACCAUAUACUGUAGCAAAUAUGGAAGUUCGUUUUGCUUAUCCCCAGCUUUCCUGCAGUACUAAAAAUUAAGCUGACAAGGUAACAGCCAAGUUAGUCCUUUCCUUUGUUGGUUAUUGGAAUUAAUGGCCUCAGUAUUUUUUUCACAGGGUCUUCAGAACUGGCAGUAUGCUUUUGCUCUGAGGGAUUAUCUUGUUCUGAACAGCUUGUUUAGCACUGAUAAUAGGUAUGUGUGUCUACAGAGUUGCCACAGAGUUGGUAACGUGCCUCUUGGUUUUACAGAACCUACAAUGACUGGAGAACUUACUGGGAAUGAACAACAUUGUUGAACUAUUGGUUCUGUGAUUUCUUUUUGUUUUGGCAGUGUCUCUUGUCUGUGAGUGCAGACUCAAAACUGAUGCCUGAGAAAUGUACUUCCGCAUUGUGGUUAGCAAUUAACAUUGUGUUGCCAUUUAAACACAGCAAAAAAAAUCAGAAAGUUGUGAAGUGGCUUCUGAUUGCUCCUGCAUUACAUGACAUGUUAGUGUUGUGCUCACUGUUGCUAUCUGAUGUUGUUCUACCCAAUUGUGAUCCUACUUUGCAUCUCCAAGAAAUUAGAGAGGAACUCCUAAAUGUUAAGUAGGAAGCUGUUUGACCCUAAGAAAAUGCACGAGGUACUGAGUGAAAAGUGCAACAUAAAAGAAUGUAUGAAGUCAAAUCAAAUAUUUGUUCCCUGCUGGUAGCUAGGUGCUGUACAUCACAUGACUUCACCAGUGAAGAUCAGUGAUGCUACUAGAAUUUAUUAAACUUGUUGUGAAGGAUCAACUUCAUAGCAUAUGAAGGCUUGUGAAAAACUAGAAGGAAGCAAUCCAUCAAGCAAAGCUGCUGCUGCUCAGCUUCCACCAUGCAAGUUCAAUUUAAAAUUAAUAGGACUUGUAUGAAAAUUGAAAGUUCAGUCCAUCUUCCCCGGGGCUCCUAGUGGUCUCCUGCCCAGAGACUGAUCAGGCUGCUGCUGUGGAAAUUUAGAUGGCAAGCUUUCUGGAUAGGAAACAGUUGUUUUGUCUAUAUUACUUUGUAAACCAAAAUUUACAGUGAUAUAAUAAGAACUCAGCAUGGUUUGAGCAUUUCUCCAAGCUUACCAACUUAGGUGGCUAUGAAAAGAUUGCCUUAGAAGGCCACUUGUACUCAAAAAGGUAAAAAUGGUUAGGUUAGACCAUAGCACUUAGACUCUUCUACCUCCUGUGAGACAUGAUAGGCAAGAACUGAAAUAUAUUGCCAUACUGCAUAAAAGAGUUUGGAUUUGAUAUCCCGCUUUAUCACUCCCCUAAGGAGUCUCAAAGCGGCUAACAAUCUCCUUUCCCUUCCUCCCCCACAACAAACACUCUGUGAGGUGAGUGAGGCUGAGAGACUUCAGAGAAGUGUGACUAGCCCAAGGUCACCCAGCAGCUGCAUGUGGAGGAGCAGGGACGCGAACCCAGUUCACCAGAUUAUGAGUCUACUGCUCUUAACCACUACGUCACACUGGCAGAGGUAUUCAUCUCUUACACUGACAUUUAUUUACUUACUUAUGCACACAUAUUUUCUCUUUCACAGAUUGUUGUUGUUUAGUCAUUUAGUUGUGUCCUACUCUUCAUGACCCCAUGGACCAGAGCACGCCAGGCAGUCCUGUCUUCCACUGCCUCCCGCAGUUUGGUCAAACUCAUGUUAGUAGCUUCAAGAGCACUGUCCAACCAUCUUGUCCUCUGUCGUCCCCUUCUCCUUGUGCCCUCAAUCUUUCCCAACAUCAGGGUCUUUUCCAGGAAGUCUUCUCUUCUCAUGAGGUGGCCAAAGUAUUAGAGCCUCAGCUUCAGGAUCUGUCCUUCCAGUGAGCACUCAGGGCUGAUUUACUUAAGAAUGGAUAGGUUUGAUCUUCUUGCAGUCCAUGGGACUCUCAAGAGUCUCCUCCAGCACCAUAAUUCAAAAGCAUCAAUUCUUCAGCAAUCAGCCUUCUUUAUGGUCCAGCUCUCACUUCCAUACAUCACUACUGGGAAAACCAUAGCUUUAACAAUCCGAACCUUUGUCGACAAGGUGAUGUCUCUGCUUUUUAAGAUGCUGUCUAGGUUUGUCAUUGCUUUUUUCCCAAGAAGCAGGCGUCUUUUAAUUUAGUGACUGUUGUCACCAUCUGCAGUGAUCAUGGAGCCCAAGAAAGUAAAAUCUCUCACUGCCUCCAUUUCUUCCCCUUCUAUUUGCCAGGAGGUGAUGGGCCCAGUGGCCAUGAUCUUCGUUUUUUUGAUGUUGAGCUUCAGACCAAAUUUUGCGCUCUCCUCUUCCACCCUCAUUAAAAGGUUCCUCCUCGCUUUCUGCCAUCAGAAAAUUUAGGCAGAGUACAAAUCUUCAAUGUUGUGCCGUAAAUCAGAAACCCAAGCCAUUAAAGGAAAGUCCAACUCACCUUGGCUUGUAAUAGUUUGGUGUUGGCCUUCUCAUCUGCUGUCUCCCCCCCUCCCCUUUCCAAAUUACCAUACUUUUACUGUACACACGUGCACACACAUAUGUCUGUAUACAAGUACUUCUUUUUAAAAAAACAUUUUUGUGGGUUUUAGAUGUGCUUUAUCAGUAAGUUUAUUCUGUAAACUGCUUAGGGAGUUUUGUGAUUAACCAGUAUAUAUAUAUUUUCCUAACUAACAUAAAUAAAUGUCAAGUUGUGAAGAGAUGGGAAAAGGGAAAUGACAACCAAGACAUAAGCCAAGAAUUGCUUCUAAGCUGCUCUUGUGUUGCUGGUAUGCAUUAUGGGAAGCGUAAGGAGGGGGCUUUGUCAUGAUUUUGAAGAUUCAAUUGUUUCAUAUCCAUUAUAGUUUCCAGUGUCCCUAUCCACAGUGAAAGGUCAGAGCUGUUGUGUUUAUCACAGAGACAUUUCUUGAUUCACAUCAGGAUUUCAGAAUGCUCUGACAGACUAGUCCACCACAUGACUUAAAGUAGUCUGGCAGUGCAGUGGGUUUUCUGGAAAGAAGAACACCAGUCUGCAUGCUGCCUUACACAAGAAAAUAAAACUACAAUAGAAAAUGUAGUCUGAAUCCAGAUUCUUAUUUCUACAAGUUCUGUGCCUUGAAAUAAACAGGAGCGUGCUCCAAAACCUGCAUUACAGAAAGCUGGAGUGAAGCAUCCAGGAGCCGGGAAGGCUAAAUGAUUGAAACCCUGAACAGAAACAAUUUGUUGAAGUCCCACUUGCAAUUUUGUAAAGUUCAAUAAUCCCAAUUUUCAUCACCUUGGCUCCCCAAGCCAAAACAAAACAACCUCAUUAUUUACUUUCCUCAUAAGGAAGGGACUCCAAGCCCUCAGUCAUUUUGGUUUCCCUAUUCUGAACCCUAUAUAUCUCUUCAAAGAUAAAUAUAUUGAAUAUAUAAAGGCAGACAUAUACAGAGGAGAGAGGGGCAGGCAGACACAAAGUGCUUAGGGCUAUGUUGUUGAGGUUGGCUUUUAUUUAAUGCUGUUAGUAGCCUUGUGAAUUUUGUAAAGCAGGACACAUGUUUUAGGAGGAAAGUAUUUGGAAUACAUGUUGCUUUAUUUUCAACAUUACGUUCAUCAUUUUUCGGUGCCACAUCAUACUGUGUUGGUGAUGAGCUCUGCUGCUUGGAUAGCCACGGCCAGCUCAGAUGCAACUGUGUGUAAGUGGGAAGUUAGGUUUGUUUGGGGAUUUUUGGUCUCAGUAUUCUGCACUUAAACAUACUGAAUCUCAUUUGUUUUAUCCAUUCACCCAAUUUGGAAAGGUCAUUUUGAAGCUCCUAACGUCCUAAUAGCCUGUAGCUCAGCAGGUACAGCAUAUGCUUUGAAUGUAAAAGGUCCUAGAUUCAUUUACUGGCAUGUCCAGGUAGGACCAAGGACUGUCUAGAAUCAUUGGGAGACACAUAGACAGUACUGAACUGGAGGGGUCAAUGGGUAGGACUCAGGGUAAGGCAGCUUCCCAUGUUUUAAAUAUACUGAGAAAAUUGUUGUCAUCCACAGACUUGAGUGUCUCACUGCUCACCCCUGACUUGAGACAAUUAUGAACUGGUUGAACAGCAUCUGUCUCAAUAAAGAUUCUUGAAGGACACACUAUAUCAGCAAAGCAGAUGAUUCAGGGAUUUAAAAGUCUCUUGAAACUGAAUGUCAAAAGCCACAUUUAAAAGUUUUCAGGGCUUAUAUUCUGAAAUGUUUGAGUAUGUGUGGACUUUCAAAAUAUUCCCUUUUAAUAGUUACUCUGGUGAAAUCUGAAUGAUCUGAGAAAGAAAAAAGGAACUGUGCUACUGGGCAGAUCUUUCAUAUGACAAGUUAUUAUCUUCUCUCUGCUUAUGCAAAUAAAUAAAUAAAAACCUGACAUCCUCUGAGAAUAUGAGAAAGUAAGCAGAAAAUUCAGCUCUGAUAUUGAUGGUUAAACCUGGAAUCAGAAGCUUAAUGGAAACAGAAAUGCAUUGCACUUCUUUUAUGAUGAGAGACCAAGACCUUUUCAUAAGUCUAAAAUAAAUGAAAUACUCUUGCAAAAUUAGGUAUAUGCUUUUCAUUUGCAAGAAAUAAUGGAGGGAGAUGCUUUGUCUCCUGUUAAUAACUUUACUUCAGUCUCCAUUGUGGAGAAUUAAUGGAACACCACAGCAAGUUAGGCGAAAGUACUUGAUUGUAUACAAGAAAAUGACAUGAGCUUUUCAUAGGGUCAGUGUUUAUUGAAUGGAGAGCAGUAUGCCUCAGCUUUACAUAUAGAACCGUUCUUGGAAGCAUUUAGAAAUAUUGUGGUUAAUAUCAAGCAAUGUUGAAAUUGUUUAUACAACCAUUUACCACAGCCAUUGUUAUCUGUAGCUUUGACAUGAAUGAGGCGUGUUUAGUUGCCUCGUGUAUGUAUUUAGAAAAGCAUUUAUAUCCUGCCUAUGGCCCUAAUAAUUGUAACUAUAAAAAACAGACAAGUCAAAAAGAGAAAAUACCCUGGAGUUGGAGAGAUCAUUACGAAACAAUUUUAAAGAAUUGAAAUAGGAGGAAAAUGGAGCCCACUUUGAAAGGAAGAUGCAUGGGGACCAGUUUGACCCUGGGAAGCAAAUAAUUCUUAUAGGCCUCAGUGUUGGUGUAGCCUUACAGGUGUUGCUGCUCUACAGUUCCCAUCAUCCCUGACCAUUUCCCAUGCUUGCUGAGGCUGAUGAAAGUUGAAAUCCAGCAACAUCUGAAGGGCAGCUAAAAGAUAGGCUGCUCCAGUGGAAGAAAUCAAGAAUCUUGCCAUGGGGAAGUAGCAGGCAGGAAAGUAUCUCUAUAUCAGUUUCACACUGUCUUUGUUGGGAUGAAGGAGGAAAGGGGGAAUUUCUGCCUGUCAGCCUUGCAGGCCUGACAGGUUUUAUGGCAAGCCUUAGCCUAGGCAUUUUUCCAAAGCCAAAGCCAUGGUAGGAGUAGCAAGAAGAGGAAGAAAUUGGGACUUCUUCCAUAACUUGCGGCAGAUGCAAAGAGCUUUGUGGGCUUGGCACACAGAAAUGUGCACAAGGCAAGGCAACAGACAAAGGAUCACUUCACAGAGAGACACAAUUUGAUUAGAACUUUGAUUUGAUCGUCAUUGAAAUCUGGGUAGAGGUUCUUUGCCAAGCAGCAAGAGUCAUAUAACAGACAUGGAAUUCUAUUCAGAACAACACAAAGAAGAACACAUCUCAAGGGGAAUGUGUUGUUGAUGUUAGAAUUAAGUGGGUUGUAACUCUAAGAUAAGUUUAUAUUCAGAAGCAGCAGGGAGGGGAAAAUGCAAACCCAUCUUAGCUGGUACAGAAAAGAAAUGCAAAUGAGAUGAAACGAAUUUCCUUGAGACAUCUAGAUUCCCCGUCCCCCCUCAAAAAAAAUAAAAAUAUUGAAUGUAGCUCUGAUAUGGCAAAGUGAAUUUUGUUCCCUCCUCUACCCAUGUAAGGGAAACACAUUUUUUUCUUUUUUCUU